rnacentral:rRNA from 1 species
UUGACCUCGGAUCAGGUAGGGAUACCCGCUGAACUUAAGCAUAUCAAUAAGCGGAGGAAAAGAAACCAACAGGGAUUGCCUCAGUAACGGCGAGUGAAGCGGCAACAGCUCAAAUUUGAAAUCUGGCUCUUUCAGGGUCCGAGUUGUAAUUUGUAGAAGAUGCUUCGGGUGUGGCUCCGGUCUAAGUUCCUUGGAACAGGACGUCAUAGAGGGUGAGAAUCCCGUAUGUGACUGGCUGCCUUCGCCUAUGUGAAGCUCUUUCGACGAGUCGAGUUGUUUGGGAAUGCAGCUCAAAAUGGGUGGUAAAUUUCAUCUAAAGCUAAAUAUUGGACAGAGACCGAUAGCGCACAAGUAGAGUGA